GGAGAACUGAAACAUCUCAGUACCCCGAGGAAAAGAAAUCAACCGAGAUUCCCCUAGUAGCGGCGAGCGAACGGGGAACAGCCCAGAGUCUUAAUCAAUAGCAGCAUCAGGAGAACGGUCUGGAAAGUCCGGCAGUAAAGGGUGAUAGCCCCGUAUCCGAAGAUGCUGUUAUUGUGAACUCGACGAGUAGGGCGGGACACGUGUUAUCCUGUCUGAAUAUGGGGGACCAUCCUCCAAGGCUAAAUACUCCUGAUUGACCGAUAGUGAACCAGUACCGUGAGGG
rnacentral:rRNA from 1 species